GAUUAACGCUGGCGGCGUGCAUAACACAUGCAAGUCGAACGAUGAAACUCAUUAGAUUUCUUCGGAAUGAAAAUGAAUGGAUUAGUGGCGAACGGGUGAGUAACGCGUGAGUAACCUGCCUUACACAAGGGGAUAGCCUCUGGAAACGGAGAAUAAUACCCUAUGAAACCAGACAAUCGCAUGAUAAUCUGGUCAAAAUGUUUAGUGGUGUAAGAUGGACUUGCGUCUGAUUAGCUAGUUGGUGAGAUAAAAGCUCACCAAGGCAACGAUCAGUAGCCGGCUUGUGAGAGUGUACGGCCACAUUGGGACUGAGACACGGCCCAGACUCCUACGGGAGGCAGCAGUGGGGAAUUUUGCACAAUGGGGGAAACCCUGAUGCAGCGACGCCGCGUGAUUUAGAAGGCCUUCGGGUUGUAAAAAUCUUUUGUAUAGGAAGAAAAUGACAGUACUAUACGAAUAAGGUCCGGCUAAUUACGUG
rnacentral:rRNA from 1 species